CUGAAGGCCGCGUUCGGGUCAAUUGCGGACUGCAACACCCGAUCUCCCUCCGGGCACCCCCAGACGAGGUGCCCGCCGAGGGGGAGCGCGUCACCGUCAG
ncrna:unclassified sequences L4-Archaeoglobi ribosomal protein leader